GAAGGUGGCAAGCGUUGUUCGGAAUCACUGGGCUUAAAGAGCACGUAGGCGGAGCAGAAAGUGUCUUGUGAAAGACCCCCGGCUUAACCGGGGAAUUGCUUGGCAAACUUCUGUUCUUGAGGCAAGUAGGGGUACAUGGAACUCUUAGUGGAGCGGUGGAAUGCGUAGAUAUUAAGAGGAACGCCAAUGGUGAAGACAGUGUACUGGGCUUGUCCUGACGCUGAGGUGCGAAAGCGUGGGGAGCGAACGGGAUUAGAUACCCCGGUAGUCCACGCCGUAAACGAUGUCUACUAGGUUGUGGAGGUUCUGACACACUCACGACCGGAGCAAAAGUGUUAAGUAGACCGCCUGGGGAGUACGGUCGCAAGGCUA
rnacentral:rRNA from 1 species